UCGCCGGUUGGUCAAUGUCGUGACGAUAGCAGCACAUUGCGCUGUCAAUCACCGUCUCCACCGACCUUCCAGCCCUAGUUACCCCCCCCAAAAAAAAACUAAGAACCCGUGCUCAAUUCUUGCAGCUGCAAUGUUGGCAAGAAGUGGUUGUUCACUGUUCCGGCAUGUUGGCUAUGGCAUUUGUAAAACUGAAUAUCUUCAGAUUGUGACCACUGCUGUUGUAGCAUUGUAGUAUAUUAUAUUAUGUGAAACAGCAGUGCCCACCUUAUAAGCAUAUUAUAAUAUACAGCUAAAUUAAGUCUUCAGGUGACCACUGCUGCCACCAUUCUAUAAUGGUGGAAUUGCCCAAAAAAAUCCAAUCCACAUGGCAGAACAUUUUGCACCCUGGAGAUGGCACACUGGGGAAAUAAAUGGAGUCAGUAACAAGCCGGCAUGGCAUUUUGGUGAUUAGUGCUACCAUCUAACAGUGACCCACUGCUAUUGACAUUGAUUUCAAGUGCUACUUAAAGGAGCCACUCACUAUUUCAUGACCACUGAUGCUGGAACUUUAAGGACCGAUGAAACACAGUGGGAUAUUGACUAAGAAUGCCAACAAAGCCUCAUGCUUGUCUAGCCUCCUGGGCAAAUGGAUUACUCUGUCUAAACGUACCAUAUUAAUAAAUAACCCCAGAUGGAAGAAACUUCUGUCAGACAGCCCCAAACUGGAACUGUGAAGACAAGAAAUCAGUUAACUGCUGGAUCCCAAUAACAGAGAGCAUCUCAAGGGAAGCCUACAAGAAAAUGGAAGACCCAAAUUCCUGGAUGAUCGCCUCCAAAUAAAAAAAAACUUUGCAAAA